CUCCAUUGCUUUGGUAUCUCUGGCCGGCAAUGACUAUACUGCAUACCUUGCCAGAAAUGGCACUACUGAGGGUUUGUCAGCCUUCACAAAAUCAAUGAUUAAGCAGCUUGGCUUGAACCUACAACGCAUUCAAGGUUUAGGAGUGCGGAAAAUAGCGGUUAUGAAUAUACAGCCUCUUGGAUGUUUGCCUUCUGAAACUAUCUCAGAUUUGUACAAGAAUUGCAGCACAUCGGGCAAUUCAGUGUCCUUGUUUCACAACUAAAUAUUGGAGAAAACCGUGGAAAAGCUGAACAACAAGAGCAAGGAAUCUGUGUUUGUAAUUCUCAACAUGUACAAGGCAUUUUUGUCUGCAUUGAAAAAGCAAGCGAGCCAACCAGGAACUCUGAAGUUUAAGGAUCCAUUGAGGCCAUGUUGCGAAGCAGUGAGUACUGGAUACAAAUGCGGGAACACAGAGGAUGGAAAGAGGAUGUACGUUGUAUGCAACAACCCCAACUCAACAUUCUUUUGGGAUGAUGUUCACCCUUCGCAGGCAGGCUGGCGUGCAGUUUACUUAGCAUUAAAAUCUUCCGCAUACUCACUUGCUCUUAUGUAACCUUGUGCUUUUUAACUUUGCAUGCUCUGUUUUAUUUUUCUCCUU